rnacentral:lncRNA from 1 species
ACAACUUCAUUUGUUGCUAAUAUUACAGCAAAGAGGAGCCAUAGCUUUCAACAAUAUAAACUAAAUAAAUAGAAUGGUGAAGAAAGGCUGCAAUGUCUUCUCUUGUCAUAGUUUCUUGUAGUUCCACGACCAGAAUAUUAACCAUCAAUGGGGCUAUAGCCUCCAGUUCAGUUGUUUAUUGCAUUAGAUUGAUGACGUGCUUUGAUUUUCUUACAUGCAAAUUGACAAAUAGUUAGGUCAGUGAAACACAGACAUCAAACCGCCACAAGCUUUAAUAACUGUUCAUAACAUUCGAUUUGAAUAAUCUGAUAGAUAAAAUGUAAUUACAUUUGCAACAGAGGUGGGAGGAUCAUU